UGGGGAAUUUUGGACAAUGGGCGAAAGCCUGAUCCAGCAAUGCCGCGUGUGUGAAGAAGGCCUUCGGGUUGUAAAGCACUUUUGUCCGGAAAGAAAUCCUUGGCUCUAAUACAGUCGGGGGAUGACGGUACCGGAAGAAUAAGCACCGGCUAACUACGUGCCAGCAGCCGCGGUAAUACGUAGGGUGCAAGCGUUAAUCGGAAUUACUGGGCGUAAAGCGUGCGCAGGCGGUUUGCUAAGACCGAUGUGAAAUCCCCGGGCUCAACCUGGGAACUGCAUUGGUGACUGGCAGGCUAGAGUAUGGCAGAGGGGGGUAGAAUUCCACGUGUAGCAGUGAAAUGCGUAGAGAUGUGGAGGAAUACCGAUGGCGAAGGCAGCCCCCUGGGCCAAUACUGACGCUCAUGCACGAAAGCGUGGGGAGCAAACAGGAUUAGAUACCCUGGUAGUCCACGCCCUAAACGAUGUCAACUAGUUGUUGGGGAUUCAUUUCCUAGUAACGUAGCUAACGCGUGAAGUUGACCGCCUGGGGAGUACGGUCGCAAGAUUAAAAC
rnacentral:rRNA from 1 species